rnacentral:tRNA from 1 species
GGACCCGUGGCCCAGUCUGGAUACAGGCACGAAGACAGAUUCGUCUGGAAAGGCAAAUAGGGCACAAGCCUCCUAAGCUUGGGGUCGGGAGUUCAAAUCUCCCCGGGUCCG